AAAGCUGCAGCAUCUAGAAAUUCGAACUGAACGAGAAACGCCUCACAACUUCCAUUACCCGAAAACUUCGGUGUCUCUAUGUCAACUGGUCUAGAGCACAUGGCGCCGCCAUCUUUGUUUACGUUGUUUUCCGCGCCCCGGAUAUGACGUGACUGUAGCGACCCGGCGCCCUCCUGGUGGCGCGAAAACGCGAGUCUUGCCGGUUCUGGAAGUCGCGGUGAAUGGGUUCCGGAAAAAAACCCGGGCUUCGGACACCAGCGUAAUCAUCCCAUAAUGACCCGAAUGAGCACAGAACCGUACUAGGCUCCAAAUUGACCGGGGAUUAUUAAGUCCGCAGCGGGACUCGUAUCCACAGCAGUGCGUUUCAGGUGAGGGCAGCGGGCAGGCAGAGGCCGAAGAGGUGAGUCGAUCACGGGUGUUUGUGAGCUGCACACCUACAACUAUCACAAACACAACACUACUAUCACAUCUACAACUAUCACCACAAUCAACACCGUAAGACAGUGCAGUGAAUGAACACAAUGUCUCAGUGUGACCAGUUACAGUAAUAAGUUACAUUGCACUGGGUUCUGGUGAAAAUACUCACAAAUAUUACAUUUUACAGGGU
rnacentral:lncRNA from 1 species